rnacentral:rRNA from 1 species
UACGAAGGGGGCUAGCGUUGCUCGGAAUGACUGGGCGUAAAGGGUGCGUAGGCGGUUCCGCAAGUCCUGUGUGAAAUCUUCGGGCUCAACUCGAAGUCUGCACGGGAAACUGCGGGGCUUGAGUGUGGGAGAGGUGAGUGGAAUUCCCGGUGUAGUGGUGGAAUGCGCAGAUAUCAGGAGGAACACCGGUGGCGAAGGCGGCUCUCUGGACCGAUACUGACGCUGAGGCGCGAAAGCGUGGGAGCAAACAGG